UAGUAGUCUGGGUAGUUGAGCGCUGUCGGCUCUGUGCUAUUUAUAGGUGACCGGUAGUAUUGCUUGUAGUGGUGUAGUCUUCACUUCUGUCUGUAUACCGUCACCGUGCUGCUCAAGGCCUGCGCCGCCAUGUUUAUAAGACGAGCACGUGGCCUCGCUCCCAGGGUUGGUUGUAGACCCGCACGAAGAUGGUGUGUGUAUAAUAGCCGAUAACUUAUACCGGAAUAUCGGUAUAAGUUAUCGGCUAUCGGUAUCGGCCCUCAAAAUCGAUAUCGGUCGAUCCCUAGUGUGUGGAUAUAUUGAAGAUCGUUUGGGUUUGUUAACUUAUGUUUGUAUCCUAGGUGAUUAGGUCUCUAAUGGAGCCGGAGAGCCGUCUUUACUUGAAGAUGUGUGCCUGGAGACCACAAUCUUGUCAAGAUCCAUGUGCCUACCAACAAAGGUGACUUGUACAUUCAGGAUGUGAAGUGAAAUGACUGGUGAAUCUACAGCUGGUGCCAUCUUGCACUAAAAUGUCUAUUGAAAGAUGUGUGCCCGGAGACCUCAAUCUCUGCCAAGAUCCAUAUGCCUAAUGACAAAGGUGACUUGUGCAUUCAGGCUGUGAAAUGAAGCUCGACUGGUGAAGAAUUUACAGCUUGUCUUGCACUUGAUUUUCUAUUGAAAGAUGGAAAACCUCAGGCGGAGUGCUGCAGUGAUCUCUGAAAACAUCAAGGUGCCAUCUGUCUGGUUGUAUUAAAAUGGAAUGUGGAAUUGAUGGAAUGCAGUAUUGAAAAAUGUCAAUAAAGAUUGAAAGUAAAUGUAUUUUGUGAUUACCUGG